GUGAAUCAUCGAAUCUUUGAACGCACCUUGCGCCCUUUGGUAUUCCGAAGGGCAUGCCCGUUCGAGUGUCUUGAAAUCAUCACCCCCUCAGCUUUGUUGUUGGGAUGGGUGGACUUGGAGGCUUGCUGCCGUACAGGCGGCUCCUCUUGAAUGCAUCGGUUGCGCUUGAAGCGUUCCUCGACGUUGUAAUCUUCCUCGUCUUGGUCUGUUUUGAAACAACCUCGGCUUAGCCUCUGGAGUGGCUGCCAAUCUUCUUUGACAUCUGACCUCGAAUCGGGUAGGACUACCCGCUGAACUUAAGCAUAUCAAUAAGCGGAGGA
rnacentral:misc_RNA from 1 species